rnacentral:rRNA from 1 species
AGAGUUUGAUCCUGGCUCAGGAUGAACGCUAGCGGCAGGCCUAAUACAUGCAAGUCGAGGGGUAGAGUAGGCUUGCUUACUUGAGACCGGCGCACGGGUGCGUAACGCGUAUGCAACCUACCUUUAUCUGGGGGAUAGCCCGGAGAAAUCCGGAUUAAUACCGCAUAAAAUCACAGAAUGGCAUUAUUCAAUGAUCAAACAUUAAUGGGAUAGAGAUGGGCAUGCGUGUCAUUAGCUAGUUGGCGGGGUAACGGCCCACCAAGGCGACGAUGACUAGGGGAUCUGAGAGGAUGACCCCCCACACUGGUACUGAGACACGGACCAGACUCCUACGGGAGGCAGCAGUAAGGAAUAUUGGUCAAUGGAGGCAACUCUGAACCAGCCAUGCCGCGUGCAGGAAGACUGCCCUAUGGGUUGUAAACUGCUUUUAUCCGGGAAUAAACCACAAUACGUGUAUUGUGCUGAAUGUACCGGAAGAAUAAGGAUCGGGUAACUCCGUGCCAGUGGUCGCGGAAAUACGGAGGAUCCAAGCGUUAUGCGGAUUUAUUGAAUUUAAAG